AUUGAACGCUGGCGGCAUGCUUUACACAUGCAAGUCGAACGGUAACAGGCCCUCGGGUGCUGACGAGUGGCGAACGGGUGAGUAAUGCAUCGGAACGUACCCAGAGGUGGGGGAUAACGCAGCGAAAGCUGUGCUAAUACUGCAUGUGAUCUGAGGAUGAAAGCGGGGGACCGAGCAGCAAUGUUUGGCCUCGCGCCUUUGGAGCGGCCGAUGUCGGAUUAGCUAGUUGGUGGGGUAAAGGCCUACCAAGGCGACGAUCCGUAGCUGGUCUGAGAGGACGACCAGCCACACUGGGACUGAGACACGGCCCAGACUCCUACGGGAGGCAGCAGUGGGGAAUUUUGGACAAUGGGCGCAAGCCUGAUCCAGCAAUGCCGCGUGCGGGAAGAAGGCCUUCGGGUUGUAAACCGCUUUUGGCAGGAACGAAACGGUGUCCGCUAAUACCGGGCGCUAAUGACGGUACCUGCAGAAUAAGCACCGGCUAACUACGUG
rnacentral:rRNA from 1 species